UACGUAGGUGGCAAGCGUUGUCCGGAUUUACUGGGCGUAAAGGAUGCGUAGGCGGACAUUUAAGUCAGAUGUGAAAUACCCGAGCUUAACUUGGGUGCUGCAUUUGAAACUGGGUGUCUAGAGUGCAGGAGAGGUAAGUGGAAUUCCUAGUGUAGCGGUGAAAUGCGUAGAGAUUAGGAAGAACACCAGUGGCGAAGGCGACUUGCUGGACUGUAACUGACGCUGAGGGAUGAAAGCGUGGGGAGCAAACAGG
rnacentral:rRNA from 1 species